rnacentral:rRNA from 1 species
UACGUAGGGUGCAGGCGUUAAUCGGAAUUACUGGGCGUAAAGCGUGCGCAGGCGGUUUCUUAAGUCAGAUGUGAAAGCCCCGGGCUUAACCGGGGAACUGCAUCUGAUACUGGAUGGCUUGAGAUUGGGAGAGGGAUGUGGAAUUCCAGGUGUAGCGGUGAAAUGCGCAGAUAUCAGGAGGAACACCGAUGGCGAAGGCAGGUCUCUGGGCAUUAACUGACGCUGAGGAGCGAAAGCAUGGGGAGCGAACAGG